rnacentral:rRNA from 1 species
UACGUAGGGCGCAAGCGUUGUCCGGAAUUAUUGGGCGUAAAGAGCUCGUAGGCGGCUUGUCACGUCGGGUGUGAAAGCCCGGGGCUUAACCCCGGGUCUGCAUUCGAUACGGGCAGGCUAGAGUGUGGUAGGGGAGACUGGAAUUCCUGGUGUAGCGGUGAAAUGCGCAGAUAUCAGGAGGAACACCGGUGGCGAAGGCGGUUCUCUGGGAAUGUACUGACGCUGAGGAGCGAAAGUGUGGGGAGCGAACAGG